UACGUAGGUGGCGAGCGUUGUCCGGAUUUACUGGGCGUAAAGGGAGCGUAGGCGGAUUUUUAAGUGAGAUGUGAAAUACUCGGGCUCAGCUUGAGUGCUGCAUUUCAAACUGGAAGUCUAGAGUGCAGGAGAGGAGAAUGGAAUUCCUAGUGUAGCGGUGAAAUGCGUAGAGAUUAGGAAGAACCCCAGUGGCGAAGGCGAUUCUCUGGACUGUAACUGACGCUGAGGCUCGAAAGCGUGGGGAGCAAACAGG
rnacentral:rRNA from 1 species